GAUCCCCUAUACUUGUGGGUUAUCAGAUUCAAGACCCCUUCUCCGGAUCGGGAAGAACUACCACCUCUUGUAUCGUCCUUUGUUGCGUUUGAAUCUUGUAUCACUCUUUGUGUUCAUGGAUCGAGCACAUGUGUGAUUGUUCUCGUUGAUUUGAGUGUUUCCCCUCGUGAUUCCCCUCAUGUUUCUUCUCAUGUUCUUUGUAGGAGCCCCUCCAUUUCGUGAUAGAUAGGCCCUAGGGUUUCCACCCUACAUCACAUUCGCUCCCAUCUCCAACCGCAUUCCCCUCCCCCUCCCCUCGUUGGGUCAAUUCCAAUCCACCCGCGCCCCUUCAUUGUCUCCGGCGAGUCAUCGGCGAGGGGUUGAGAGCGGAUGGAUCUCAGUCGGCCGCCGUAGUUGUCAGUCGCCUGCGAACUGUGCCGCUGAGUCGCCUACUUCGUCUGGUGGAAGUUCUCUAGUCGACCGGUCUGGUGGUCUGCGAGGCGCCGAGGAUCUCCGGCAGGGCACGUUGUAGAAGCGCUUACUCACCAAAGUUCCUCGUCGGCGGAUAUCAUCUCCGGCGACUGUAGAAGCAUCUUCUCCUCGGCAAGGUUCCACUCACAUCUUCUCUUGCAUUUGCACCACCAUGGUUCGGAAUGUUGCUGACUCCGAUGAUGAUGACUUCAUGCCGCCUAGAGUUGAAGUUGCAGGUGGUGCCAAUCGCAAUGCAAAGAAGCUGUGUUGAACAGCAGAAAAACCCACGCAACAGGGGAUCGCAAGAAUGUCUAACAGAAUUGUACGCCGAUUUCGAUGAUGCCCAGAAAGAAACUGCAAAGGAAAUGGGGAUGCAGGCUUUGAUGAACAUAAGGUGCACCAAUUUGAAUAACAGCAUGUGCGACUAGUUUGUGAGGUUAUAUCAGCCCGAUAAGAGGGAAUUUGUCAUACCGGGCCGUGGUAGGAUUCCAUUAGAUGAGGACUCUGUUUUCAACACACUUGGUGUCCCUAAUGGCGGCAUGGAUGUACAAAGUGGAUAGGAAUGUGCAAGCACGUCUUCUCCCUGAAAUGUUCCUUGGCCUGACUUCCCUCCCGUUGAACUCUGCUUUUUCCAAUAUGCUUGGUGCGAUGCAAACAAGUGGCGAUGACUUCAAGAGGAAAUUGCUCAUGGACUUGAUCUCAAAUUUCUUUGCCCCCACGACAUCAUUACGCCCUAACAGUAGAUGUUUUCCUAUUCUGGACCAUAUAGGCAAUGUUGCCAACAUGAACUGGUGCAAGUUCAUAGUUGGUUUCCUUCAUACUUCACUAUUUAAUAAGAUGUACAACAAAGGUUGCAGGCUUCAUCUAAUGGCAAGUUUAUUUUGUUAAAACCUUUGCUUUUCCAUUCUACGUCUUCCCCCAAUCUCUUCUUACUCCUUUUUGCACUAGAAGCUAAUUUGCGCUAGUAGUUUUACCCGCACGUUUCCAUUUU